GGAACAAAGUUGUGAACUGAAGAUGAUUGAAUAAAUUUUUUAUGUUUUCUACACAUUGGGCCCAUGGAAUUUGUAAGCAGGUAGCUACAAGGAGAAUUUAAACGGUGAUUCUGCACAACAUAAUCACAUUGUUACAAAAUUGUGAUCAUAAGAAGAAAAAAGGAUCACUUUGGCUGCAAAGAGGAAAGCAGUGAUGAAAACAUGCCUCCUUCCAGGAAACAACUAGUAUCAUUCAAGAAUGCUGAGCAGGUGAACACAAUAAUUAAUUAGGCUGAGAAAAACAAGCUGCUUUGAAAACAAGAGAUGGCAUCUAUCUAGUUCCAGUCCUAGACCCUGGAGAUGUUGGGGAUGAACAUAGGACCUUCUGUAGCCAAAAGGAUUCUCUACCAUCAAGUCAUGGCCCUGCCCCUUUAAAAAGUUCUUGGCCUCCUUUAUUAUUUGCUAUUGAAGCUAUUUUUUAUGAGACCAAUUAAAAACUCCAAAAAGCA